rnacentral:lncRNA from 1 species
GGGAAAAGGAGCCUUUCCUCUGGCAAGAGGUUUUCAUCUUCUUGGCUUCCCGACAGAAACUCCUGGUGUGGAGAGCGGGGAAACUCAGCUGAAGCUGUUGGGGAGCUCCCCACGCCUGCCAGUCUGCAGUGCUGGAGGAGCUGGAGCAACUGGAAGGAGAAGGAAAACACAGAGUAAAGAGGUAACAGGAGUAAAGGAAGGGAACCCCCCACCAGAUGCAUCCAGCAUCUUCUCCCGGAGUGCUAACCAAAGUGGGGCCCGUUUAUGUGGGGCAGGAGGACAGAAUGUUUUCCAGCUCGCCCUGCAGGGUGGUGAGGACGGACCCUGGGGCUGUCACUGCCUCCUGCCGCUCGUUCCUCUCCAACACCGAGCAGGAGAACCCCAGGCCACAAGCUUCCUUGGAAAAAGAAGGAGACAAGCUUUUUCCAUGAAAGCCCCAGCAGCCUGGUCUGUGGCUCACUUGUGGGAAGGCGCAGCGUGGGGAUGGCAAAGCUGCACAGUGCCCACACCUUGUGUCUCUGUCCCCUCUUUCCCACCAUGGCACAGCCAGGAGGAACAGCAAACAGCAUGGUGCAGAUCUGGAAAGGAAAAUGAAGUGUUUUCCUAGCACAGGAACUGUUUGUAACGCGGUGGAGGUUUCCAAUGUUCCAAUGUUCCAAUGAGUUUGCCUUUUAUUUCACAUCCCUGAUCCUACAGCCCAGUUUGCCCCUAGCUCUCCUAAAGCUCCUUUUCAUUAAAACCAUAAAUCAG